rfam:Schistosoma curassoni strain Dakar, Senegal genome assembly, scaffold: SCTD_scaffold0000820
ACACUGCUGAGGAGUCCCAUACUAGGACGAAACGGCCGUCCAGUGU